GAUGAACGCUGGCGGUAUGCUUAACACAUGCAAGUCGAACGGACUCUUCGGAGUUAGUGGCGGACGGGUGAGUAACGCGUGAGAAUCUGGCUUUGGGUUCGGGACAACCACUGGAAACGGUGGCUAGUACCGGAUGUGCCGAGAGGUAAAAGAGAAAUUGCCUGAAGAUGAGCUCGCGUCUGAUUAGCUAGUUGGUGAGGUAAAGGCUCACCAAGGCAGCGAUCAGUAGCUGGUCUGAGAGGAUGACCAGCCACACUGGGACUGAGACACGGCCCAGACUCCUACGGGAGGCAGCAGUGGGGAAUUUUCCGCAAUGGGCGAAAGCCUGACGGAGCAAUACCGCGUGAGGGAAGAAGGCUCUUGGGUUGUAAACCUCUUUUCUUAGGGAAGAACAAAAUGACGGUACCUAAGGAAUCAGCAUCGGCUAACUCCGUG
rnacentral:rRNA from 1 species